GGAUUUCCAACAGAAGAAAAAAUAGGAAGUUCAGUAAGAAAAAAAAAAAAAGCUAGAUAGAUAGAAAGAGUACAAAUGUGGGAGAAGAAGAGUGACGACGGAAGAUUUUGUGUAUAGGGGUGGCCUGCGCCGGAGUGGUUUGCAGAGGAGUGUGAUGGUCGGUUAACGAAGGCACAUGCAGUCAAUAGGAGAUGACGACGACAACGUUAUGAGAUAUAUAAAUAGAAACGAUGGUCUUAUACCGAUGACAGUAAAAUUCCUCCCUCUUCUUUUUUUAUAGUUUCUUUGAUUUUUGUAUGUAUUGAAAAAAAAAAAAAACCUAUUGGAUUUCUAAAUUUUCGUUCAAAACAAUCUAUUUUAGACACUUCAAGAACCGUAUAAGGGUUUUCAUCAUCUGAAACAACCCGAUUUCCGAGGCCUCUUGCACUGCAUUACCAUAACGAGAGAAAUUUCUCUUGUGAAUCGGAAUUAAACUUUCUCGAUAGAAGAAAGGAAGAGCGAUGGAUUCCUAUGAAGCAUUCGGGAACAAGAAAGAAGAAUCGUAUAAGGGUUUUUUGAGGAAGAGAAAAGGUUUUCUGAAGAAGAAAAUUAUUUUUUUGAAAAUAACUAGCAAAAUGACUAAAUUGUGCCUUAAGUAUGUACAAUAUACGGUAUACAAUAUAUGUGUUUGUAUUUGUGUCCAAAAGUGCGUUUAAAUAUCAUAUGUUAUUUAAAUACAUUUUUAAACACAAAUACAAACAUAAAUACUCUCAUAUAUUAUUAUACAUAUGUGACUCCUACACAAUCUCUUUCUUCUUUUACUUUCCCUCAUUUUUAUCUCUUUUUUUUUCACUUUCUUGUUUUUUGUCUUCUUAUACAAAAACAAACCUCACACAUUCAUCUUCACUUUCUUCCAUAAUUUCUCCUUCUUCCUUCUUUUUUUUUUACUGGUUUUAAUUUUAGGUAAACAUUAGAUUUGAGAGAAAAACCAUGAUUUCCAAGGAAGAUGAAGAAAAAUAGAAAAACAAAAUCAAAUUUUUAUUGAAGUAACUUGAGCAACCUUAUCUUCUCCCUUGCAAGACACUAGUAUUGAGAAAAAUUGCAACAACCUGUAACUAUCGCACAGAGAAGACGACAAGCGACAACGAGCGAUGACGACUGAGAAGGAAGAA